AGAGUUUGAUUCUGGCUCAGGAUGAACGCUGGCGGCGUGCUUAACACAUGCAAGUCGAGCGAAGCAGUUAAGUUGAUUUCUUCGGAUUGAUUCUUAACUGACUGAGCGGCGGACGGGUGAGUAACGCGUGGGUGACCUGCCCCAUACCGGGGGAUAACAGCUGGAAACGGCUGCUAAUACCGCAUAAGCGCACAGAGCUGCAUGGCUCGGUGUGAAAAACUCCGGUGGUAUGGGAUGGGCCCGCGUCUGAUUAGGCAGUUGGCGGGGUAACGGCCCACCAAACCGACGAUCAGUAGCCGGCCUGAGAGGGCGACCGGCCACAUUGGGACUGAGACACGGCCCAA
rnacentral:rRNA from 1 species